rnacentral:rRNA from 1 species
GUGCCAGCCGCCGCGGUAAUACGGAGGGUGCAAGCGUUAAUCGGAAUUACUGGGCGUAAAGCGUGCGUAGGUGGUCUUUUAAGUCGGAUGUGAAAUCCCUGAGCUUAACUUAGGAGUUGCAUUCGAUACUGGGAGACUAGAGUAUGGGAGAGGAUGGUAGAAUUCCAGGUGUAGCGGUGAAAUGCGUAGAGAUCUGGAGGAAUACCGAUGGCGAAGGCAGCCAUCUGGCCUAAUACUGACACUGAGGCACGAAAGCAUGGGGAGCAAACAGGAUUAGAAACCCCCGUAGUCC